rnacentral:rRNA from 1 species
CACGUAGGGCGCAAGCGUUGUCCGGAAUUAUUGGGCGUAAAGAGCUCGUAGGCGGACUGUCACGUCUGCUGUGAAAAGCUGGGGCUUAACCCUGGCCUUGCAGUGGAUACGGGCAGACUAGAGGUAGGUAGGGGAGAAUGGAAUUCCCGGUGUAGCGGUGAAAUGCGCAGAUAUCGGGAGGAACACCUGUGGCGAAAGCGGCUCACUGGACCACAACUGACGCUGAGGCGCGAAAGCUAGGGGAGCAAACAGG